rnacentral:lncRNA from 1 species
UCUAAUAUUCAUAUUAAUAGCAAUAACUCAAAAUAGUUAAUUAUUAAACAAUUAAAAAAACAAGAAAGAAAAAAAAGUUGUAAACAUGAAUAAGGGAGUUAAGUGAAAUAGAAGAUGAGAUCCCAAUAAGUCUAAGCCCAUCAAAUAAAAAUAAAAAACAACAAAAAGGGUGAAAAGGGGCUGGACAAUCCAAACCGUC